UACGGGGGGUGCGAGCGUUGUCCGGAAUUAUUGGGCGUAAAGAGCUCGUAGGCGGUCUGUCGCGUCUGUUGUGAAAACUCGAGGCUCAACCUCGGGCUUGCAGUGGAUACGGGCAGACUAGAGUGCGGUAGGGGAGACUGGAAUUCCUGGUGUAGCGGUGAAAUGCGCAGAUAUCAGGAGGAACACCGGUGGCGAAGGCGGGUCUCUGGGCCGAACUGACGCUGAGGAGCGAAAGCGUGGGGGCGAACAGG
rnacentral:rRNA from 1 species